UUGAUAAGAUUACAAGAAAACCUAAAUACUGAGAUGCCAGCAAGACCACAGACACCACGAGUAAGUUACUAUUCUACAUGUGUUUAAAAAUAUGUGGACACCUUUACUCAUUAUUAUUUACUAUUGUAAUUAUUUAAUGGGAUGUACGGAAGAGCUUAGUGACUUUGACAUUUUCUUAUAUUUAUGCAUUUGGUUGUUAUUACAAAGCAACUUUAUUGCAUUCCCAUUUUUAAUGCGAUGCUCAGUUAGGAGUGAUGGUAAGGUCAGGUGUCCACAUAUGUUUAGCUGAACUAUAUUGUUAUCUUUGCAAAUCAUUGAGCUGUAUUUACCAUACUAACAUGCAUCUUUCUGGAAACUUUUUUGUAGGACUUCCUGUUGAUAUUCCACCUGGAUCAAUCUCAAGACAACAUAUUGCUUGUUUGUAGCAAAAAAGAAAAAAAUUACUUUAGACCAGAGAUUUUUUCUUUGACAGGACAAAGCAAUCAAGAUCAAAAACAAUUCAAGGUCUGUUUGAUUAAAUGCACAUAUACAUGCUAAUGUCCAUGCAUUAAGUUUAUAAUUUUAGAGAAUGAUGAGGGUAAAAAUGUUUUUCUCUAUUUUCAGGUAUGCAACAGGUGAACACAAGUUGUUUUCAGCCCUUUUUACCAAAUACCAGCUUUUGAGAGAAAAGACUGGCAGAGGAUGUGCUUAAAAACAAAUUCAAAAAAGAAAGAUCACCUUUGAUUAAUGUUGAAGAAAAAAUGACAUUUGCUUCAGGUUCAGUAAAGUAAGAAAACAGAUCAUUUUACCAGGAGUCCAUCAAAAAUAUCGCAACCAUUGUAGAGGUAGGUUUGCUAAAAAUAAUGUGACACUUCAAUACUUACAUUUCUAUUAUCCCGUGAGAAUGUUUCAUGUAUAUGUUUAUUUAUUUAUUUUGCAGGAUCUAUCUGGUCAAGAUUUGUAUUAAAAGAGGUCAAGGUCAGUUACAGACAGAGUCUGGUGGCACAAACAGAGAUCAAUGAGCGCUAAAGAAGAGCAGCUGGGGAGAUAUUGUUACUGAGCUGGAUGAAGAAAAACAAAUCUGUGUUGAUUUGGCACACAAAGAUGUCAGUGGUUGCUGCUGUCCUGCUGUUUCCACUUCUAUUAAAGCAGAGUCUGAGAUCUCUUUGUGUCAUCAGUGAGGAACCAGAUACACCCAAGCCUGUGCUGUUUAUAAAGGGACAUGCCUUGGGUGUGGAGUCUCUUUAAGAAAUAAUGCUGGAAGUGGAGGAGGAGGUCUGUGAAGUACAUGAUGUGAACACAGCUCUACACUUCAACUUCAACACUGAAUAAGCUUCAAAGUUGAGAGACACCCUGACUUCUACUGAAAACUGUUUAAUGUAUCAUAAUGCCAAAACCAAUAUGCCACCCACAAUGGCCAAUUAUUAUUAUUUGUUUUAUUAAAUUAAUGUGUAUGUAUAUAAAUGCAUGAUAUUUAUUGUUGUUUAUGUAUGUGUUUGUUAGUUUGUUUGUAAUACAUAUUUAUCGAUGAUUGUUUAUUUAUUUGUGUUUGUUGGUUUGUUUGUAAUACAUAUUUAUGUAUUAAAC